GCUGUUGUAUCUUCAGUUGGGCGAUUAGACCUGCAUGCGCAUUGCCAAAUUAAAUUCAAGUUCAUCACUCCUCUGCAGGUAUUCCAGUUUGUGCCAGCGAUGACUCACAUGGGAGAUUUUCACUGAAACUAGCUCGAGUUCUGUGCUCAGUCUCCCAGACCUGCUCUCUUCAUAUUUUCCUUUAAGUCGACUGUCUAGGUCCCUGCACACUUAUGAAGCCAGGCACCAUGAGGGAGCUGGAUCAAAAAUGGAAUAACCAACGCGUAAACCAACACCUUCAUGGGAUUCAUGGUCAUGGGGCGUCUCAACAAAACAG